AGGACUAACGCUGGCGGCGUGCCUAACACAUGCAAGUCGAACGAGGGGUAGCAAUACCCCUAGUGGCAGACGGGUGAGUAACACGUAGUCAACCUACCUCUUAAUGGGGGAUAACUAGCCGAAAGGUUAGCUAAUACCGCAUACGAUCGUCGAGUGGCAUCACACGACGAUGAAAGGAGCAAUCCGUUGAGAGAGGGGACUGCGUCCCAUUAGUUAGUUGGUGGGGUAAUGGCCUACCAAGACUCCGAUGGGUAGCUGGCUUGAGAGAGCGACCAGCCACACUGGAACUGAGACACGGUCCAGACUCCUACGGGAGGCAGCAGUGAGGAAUUUUCCGCAAUGGGGGAAACCCUGACGGAGCGACGCCGCGUGUGGGAAGAAGGCCUUCGGGUCGUAAACCACUGUCGAGGGGGACGAGUAUUGACGGUACCCCUGGAGGAAGCCCCGGCUAACUACGCGCCAGCAGCCGC
rnacentral:rRNA from 1 species